UACGAAGGGGGCUAGCGUUGCUCGGAAUCACUGGGCGUAAAGCGCACGUAGGCGGAUCCUUAAGUCGGGGGUGAAAUCCUGGAGCUCAACUCCAGAACUGCCUUCGAUACUGAGGAUCUCGAGUCCGGGAGAGGUGAGUGGAACUGCGAGUGUAGAGGUGAAAUUCGUAGAUAUUAGGAAGAACACCAGUGGCGAAGGCGGCUCACUGGCCCGGUACUGACGCUGAGGCGCGAAAGCGUGGGGAGCAAACAGG
rnacentral:rRNA from 1 species